UACGUAGGUGGCAAGCGUUGUCCGGAAUUAUUGGGCGUAGAGCGCGCGCAGGCGGCCUGUUAAGUCUGAUGUGAAAGCCCCCGGCUCAACCGGGGAAGGUCAUUGGAAACUGAUAGGCUUGAGUACAGAAGAGGAAAGCGGAAUUCCACGUGUAGCGGUGAAAUGCGUAGAGAUGUGGAGGAACACCAGUGGCGAAGGCGGCUUUCUGGUCUGUAACUGACGCUGAGGCGCGAAAGCGUGGGGAGCAAACAGG
rnacentral:rRNA from 1 species